rnacentral:rRNA from 1 species
AUUGAACGCUGGCGGCAUGCCUUACACAUGCAAGUCGAACGGCAGCACGGGUGCUUGCACCUGGUGGCGAGUGGCGAACGGGUGAGUAAUACAUCGGAACAUGUCCUGUAGUGGGGGAUAGCCCGGCGAAAGCCGGAUUAAUACCGCAUACGAUCUACGGAUGAAAGCGGGGGACCUUCGGGCCUCGCGCUAUAGGGUUGGCCGAUGGCGGAUUAGCUAGUUGGUGGGGUAAAGGCCUACCAAGGCGACGAUCAGUAGCUGGUCUGAGAGGACGACCAGCCACACUGGGACUGAGACACGGCCCAGACUCCUACGGGAGGCAGCAGUGGGGAAUUUUGGACAAUGGGCGAAAGCCUGAUCCAGCAAUGCCGCGUGUGUGAAGAAGGCCUUCGGGUUGUAAAGCACUUUUGUCCGGAAAGAAAUCCUUGGCCCUAAUACGGUCGGGGGAUGACGGUACCGGAAGAAUAAGCACCGGCUAACUACGUG